GCCAGGAGUGGUGGUGCACGCUUGUAAUCCCAGUGACUCAGGAGGCUGAUGUAGGAGGAUUGCAGAUUUGGGGCCAGCCUUAGCAAUUUAGAGAGGCCCUAAGCAAUUUAGCAAGACCCUGUCUCAA
rnacentral:sRNA from 1 species